rnacentral:rRNA from 1 species
AGUGAACGCUGGCGGUAGGCCUAACACAUGCAAGUCGAACGGCAGCACAGUAAGAGCUUGCUCUUACGGGUGGCGAGUGGCGGACGGGUGAGGAAUACAUCGGAAUCUACUUUUUCGUGGGGGAUAACGUAGGGAAACUUACGCUAAUACCGCAUACGACCUACGGGUGAAAGCAGGGGAUCUUCGGACCUUGCGCGAUUGAAUGAGCCGAUGUCGGAUUAGCGAGUUGGCGGGGUAAAGGCCCACCAAGGCGACGAUCGGUAGCUGGUCUGAGAGGAUGAACAGCCACACUGGAACUGAGACACGGUCCAGACUCCUACGGGCGGCAGCGGUGGGGAAUAUUGGACAAUGGGCGGAAUCCUGAUCCAGCCAUACCGCGUGGGUGAAGAAGGCCUUCGGGUUGUAAAGCCCUUUUGUUGGGAAAGAAAAGCAGCAGGUUAAUACCCCGCUGUUCUGACGGUACCCAAAGAAUAAGCACCGGCUAACUUCGUG